GCCCUUAUAGCUCAGUGGUAGAGCAACCGCCUUGUAAGCGGUAGGUCGUGGGUUCAAAUCCUACUGGGGGCACCA
rnacentral:tRNA from 50 species